AUCCAACUGACGAGUCUCAAAUAGAACGAAACGCAUGUCCUAGAU
rnacentral:hammerhead_ribozyme from 1 species